UACGUAGGUGGCAAGCGUUGUCCGGAAUUAUUGGGCGUAAAGCGUGCGCAGGCGGCCUUUUAAGUCUGAUGUGAAAUCUUGCGGCUCAACCGCAAGCGGCCAUUGGAAACUGGGAGGCUUGAGUACAGAAGAGGAGAGUGGAAUUCCACGUGUAGCGGUGAAAUGCGUAGAUAUGUGGAGGAACACCAGUGGCGAAGGCGACUCUCUGGUCUGUAACUGACGCUGAGGCGCGAAAGCGUGGGGAGCAAACAGG
rnacentral:rRNA from 1 species